GAGACGGCGGGACCUAGAGUACGUACGUAAGGAGCCGCCUAGGGUAAAACUGGUGACUGGGGCU
rnacentral:rRNA from 1 species